AACCUCUCAGGGUCACACCUGGAGGGUUUCCAGUACUCUACCAGUCUCGGCUACAGGAGGGAGAGUCAAGCUGAGGCAUACCUAUUCCAUUUCUAGCCUGGCCAGUGGCUAGCGAGUGGAAGGCAAUCUGCUACCAGU